GCUAUACAUGCAAGUCGAGCGAGACAGAAGGGAGCUUGCUCCCGGAUGUUAGCGGCGGACGGGUGAGUAACACGUGGGUAACCUGCCUGUAAGACUGGGAUAACUCCGGGAAACCGGAGCUAAUACCGGAUAGUUCCUUGAACCGCAUGGUUCAAGGAUGAAAGACGGUUUCGGCUGUCACUUACAGAUGGACCCGCGGCGCAUUAGCUAGUUGGUGGGGUAAUGGCUCACCAAGGCGACGAUGCGUAGCCGACCUGAGAGGGUGAUCGGCCACACUGGGACUGAGACACGGCCCAGACUCCUACGGGAGGCAGCAGUAGGGAAUCUUCCGCAAUGGACGAAAGUCUGACGGAGCAACGCCGCGUGAGUGAUGAAGGUUUUCGGAUCGUAAAGCUCUGUUGUUAGGGAAGAACAAGUGCGAGAGUAACUGCUCGCACCUUGACGGUACCUAACCAGAAAGCCACGGCUAACUACGUGCCAGCAGCCGCGGUAAUACGUAGGUGGCAAGCGUUGUCCGGAAUUAUUGGGCGUAAAGGGCUCGCAGGCGGUUUCUUAAGUCUGAUGUGAAAGCCCCCGGCUCAACCGGGGAGGGUCAUUGGAGACUGGGAAACUUGAGUGCAGAAGAGGAGAGUGGAAUUCCACGUGUAGCGGUGAAAUGCGUAGAGAUGUGGAGGAACACCAGUGGCGAAAGCCACUCUCUGGUCUGUAACUGACGCUCAUGAGCGAAAGCGUGGGGAAGCGAACAGGAUUAGAUACCCUGGGAGUCCACGCCGUAUACG
rnacentral:rRNA from 1 species